rnacentral:tRNA from 1 species
AUCUAGGUAGCUUAAAACCAAAGCACAUCUCUGAAGAAGAUAAGAUGAGUUUCCUCCCUAAAUA